rnacentral:rRNA from 1 species
UACGAAGGGGGCUAGCGUUGUUCGGAAUUACUGGGCGUAAAGCGCACGUAGGCGGAUACUUAAGUCAAGGGUGAAAUCCCGGGGCUUAACCCCGGGCGUGCAGUGGAUACGGGCUGGCUGGAGGCAGGCAGGGGAGAACGGAAUUCCCGGUGUAGCGGUGAAAUGCGCAGAUAUCGGGAGGAACACCGGUGGCGAAGGCGGUUCUCUGGGCCUGUACUGACGCUGAGGAGCGAAAGCGUGGGGAGCGAACAGG